UUGAUUCCAAGCCAACUCUGAUAACCAAUCCAUGUAUUGAUUCUCCUGUCUGAACAAUCAACAAGUGUGCACACAAGAUAACACACUUAUAACAACCACCUCAUCUAUGAAAAUGCCAUUUAGCACACAUUUGCAUAAAUAAAGAAAAUUCUCUUCUUUCUUUUUUUUGAAUUUUUUAGUCCUGUAAAAACAAUUUUAUUAAUUUCCCAAGGAAUAACAAAAGACUUGACAAAUUUAACUAGACUAUAACAGACUCUAGCGUCAACUAAAUGACUGAAAUGAACAAUAGACUCAAAACACAAAAACAAAAAAACAAAAAAAAAA
rnacentral:lncRNA from 1 species